CGGACGGGUGAGUAACACGUGGGUAACCUGCCUGUAAGACUGGGAUAACUCCGGGAAACCGGAGCUAAUACCGGAUAGUUCCUUGAACCGCAUGGUUCAAGGAUGAAAGACGGUUUCGGCUGUCACUUACAGAUGGACCCGCGGCGCAUUAGCUAGUUGGUGAGGUAACGGCUCACCAAGGCGACGAUGCGUAGCCGACCUGAGAGGGUGAUCGGCCACACUGGGACUGAGACACGGCCCAGACUCCUACGGGAGGCAGCAGUAGGGAAUCUUCCGCAAUGGACGAAAGUCUGACGGAGCAACGCCGCGUGAGUGAUGAAGGUUUUCGGAUCGUAAAGCUCUGUUGUUAGGGAAGAACAAGUGCAAGAGUAACUGCUUGCACCUUGACGGUACCUAACCAGAAAGCCACGGCUAACUACGUGCCAGCAGCCGCGGUAAUACGUAGGUGGCAAGCGUUGUC
rnacentral:rRNA from 1 species